rnacentral:tRNA from 1 species
GCUGUGGCUCAGUUGUAGAGCAUCUGCGUGGCAUGGAGAGGGACCUGGGUUCAAUUCCUGGCUUCUCCA